rnacentral:rRNA from 1 species
CAGCCGCCGCGGUAAUACGUAGGUGGCAAGCGUUGUCCGGAAUUAUUGGGCGUAAAGCGCGCGCAGGUGGUUUAAUAAGUCUGAUGUGAAAGCCCACGGCUCAACCGUGGAGGGUCAUUGGAAACUGUUAAACUUGAGUGCAGGAGAGAAAAGUGGAAUUCCUAGUGUAGCGGUGAAAUGCGUAGAGAUUAGGAGGAACACCAGUGGCGAAGGCGGCUUUUUGGCCUGUAACUGACACUGAGGCGCGAAAGCGUGGGGAGCGAACAGGAUUAGAUACCCCCGUAGUCCCUGUCUCUUAUAA